CCUCUGAAGCAAUCGGAAGUGGUUCCAAGAAAAGCCUCUAAGCUUCAGUCAUACGAGACCGUACCGCAAACCGACACAGGUGGGCGAGAUGAGUAUUCUAAGGCGCUUGAGAGAACUCGGGAGAAGGAACUCGGCAAAUUGGUACCGUAACUUCGGGAAAAGGUACGCCCUUGUAGCUUGGCUGAUUUACUUCAGUAGGGCGAACGGGUUGCAAUAAACUGGUGGCUGCGACUGUUUAAUAAAAACACAGCACUCUGCAAACACGAAAGUGGACGUAUAGGGUGUGACGCCUGCCCGGUGCUGGAAGAUUAAAUGAUGGGGUGCAAGCUCUUGAUUGAAGUCCCAGUAAACGGCGGCCGUAACGAUAACGGUCCUAAGGUAGCGAAAUUCCUUGUCGGGUAAGUUCCGACCUGCACGAAUGGCGUAACGAUGGCCACACUGUCUCCUCCCGAGACUCAGCGAAGUUGAAGUGUUUGUGAUGAUGCAAUCUACCCGCGGCUAGACGGAAAGACCCCAUGAACCUUUACUGUAGCUUUGCAUUGGACUUUGAAUCAAUCUGUGUAGGAUAGGUGGGAGGCUUUGAAGCGGGGACGCCAGUUCUCGUGGAGCCAACCUUGAAAUACCACCCUGGUUCAUUUGAGGUUCUAACCUUGGCCCGUUAUCCGGGUCGGGGACAGUGCAUGGUAGGCAGUUUGACUGGGGCGGUCUCCUCCUAAAGUGUAACGGAGGAGUUCGAAGGUACGCUAGGUACGGUCGGACAUCGUGCUAAUAGUGCAAUGGCAUAAGCGUGCUUAACUGCGAGACUGACAAGUCGAGCAGGUACGAAAGUAGGACAUAGUGAUCCGGUGGUUCUGUAUGGAAGGGCCAUCGCUCAACGGAUAAAAGGUACUCUGGGGAUAACAGGCUGAUUCCUCCCAAGAGUUCAUAUCGACGGGGGAGUUUGGCACCUCGAUGUCGGCUCAUCACAUCCUGGGGCUGUAGCCGGUCCCAAGGGUAUGGCUGUUCGCCAUUUAAAGUGGUACGUGAGCUGGGUUUAAAACGUCGUGAGACAGUUUGGUCCCUAUCUGCCGUGGGCGUUGGAAAUUUGAAGGGGGCUGCUCCUAGUACGAGAGGACCGGAGUGGACAGACCUCUGGUGUACCGGUUGUCACGCCAGUGGCAUUGCCGGGUAGCUAAGUCUGGAAGAGAUAACCGCUGAAAGCAUCUAAGCGGGAAACUUGCCUUAAGAUGAGAUUUCCCAGAGCCUUGAGCUCUUUGAAGGGUCGUUCGAGACCAGGACGUUGAUAGGUCAGGUGUGGAAGUGC
rnacentral:rRNA from 1 species